rnacentral:miRNA from 1 species
GAACCUGACACACGGGCCUGC